rnacentral:rRNA from 1 species
GUCGAGCGGUAGCACAGAGAGCUUGCUCUCGGGUGACGAGCGGCGGACGGGUGAGUAAUGUCUGGGAAACUGCCUGAUGGAGGGGGAUAACUACUGGAAACGGUAGCUAAUACCGCAUAACGUCGCAAGACCAAAGUGGGGGACCUUCGGGCCUCAUGCCAUCAGAUGUGCCCAGAUGGGAUUAGCUAGUAGGUGGGGUAACGGCUCACCUAGGCGACGAUCCCUAGCUGGUCUGAGAGGAUGACCAGCCACACUGGAACUGAGACACGGUCCAGACUCCUACGGGAGGCAGCAGUGGGGAAUAUUGCACAAUGGGCGCAAGCCUGAUGCAGCCAUGCCGCGUGUGUGAAGAAGGCCUUCGGGUUGUAAAGCACUUUCAGCGGGGAGGAAGGCGGUGAGGUUAAUAACCUUGGCGAUUGACGUUACCCGCAGAAGAAGCACCGGCUAACUCCGUGCCAGCAGCCGCGGUAAUACGGAGGGUGCAAGCGUUAAUCGGAAUUACUGGGCGUAAAGCGCACGCAGGCGGUCUGUCAAGUCGGAUGUGAAAUCCCCGGGCUCAACCUGGGAACUGCAUUCGAAACUGGCAGGCUAGAGUCUUGUAGAGGGGGUAGAAUUCCAGGUGUAGCGGUGAAAUGCGUAGAGAUCUGGAGGAAUACCGGUGGCGAAGGCGGCCCCCUGGACAAAGACUGACGCUCAGGUGCGAAAGCGUGGGGAGCAAACAGGAUUAGAUACCCUGGUAGUCCACGCCGUAAACGAUGUCGAUUUGGAGGUUGUGCCCUUGAGGCGUGGCUUCCGGAGCUAACGCGUUAAAUCGACCGCCUGGGGAGUACGGCCGCAAGGUUAAAACUCAAAUGAAUUGACGGGGGCCCGCACAAGCGGUGGAGCAUGUGGUUUAAUUCGAUGCAACGCGAAGAACCUUACCUGGUCUUGACAUCCACAGAACUUUCCAGAGAUGGAUUGGUGCCUUCGGGAACUGUGAGACAGGUGCUGCAUGGCUGUCGUCAGCUCGUGUUGUGAAAUGUUGGGUUAAGUCCCGCAACGAGCGCAACCCUUAUCCUUUGUUGCCAGCGGUUAGGCCGGGAACUCAAAGGAGACUGCCAGUGAUAAACUGGAGGAAGGUGGGGAUGACGUCAAGUCAUCAUGGCCCUUACGACCAGGGCUACACACGUGCUACAAUGGCAUAUACAAAGAGAAGCGACCUCGCGAGAGCAAGCGGACCUCAUAAAGUAUGUCGUAGUCCGGAUUGGAGUCUGCAACUCGACUCCAUGAAGUCGGAAUCGCUAGUAAUCGUAGAUCAGAAUGCUACGGUGAAUACGUUCCCGGGCCUUGUACACACCGCCCGUCACACCAUGGGAGUGGGUUGCAAAAGAAGUAGGUAGCUUAACCUUCGGGAGGGCGCUUA